UACCGCAUACGUCCUACGGGAGAAAGCAGGGGACCUUCGGGCCUUGCGCUAUCAGAUGAGCCUAGGUCGGAUUAGCUAGUUGGUGAGGUAAUGGCUCACCAAGGCGACGAUCCGUAACUGGUCUGAGAGGAUGAUCAGUCACACUGGAACUGAGACACGGUCCAGACUCCUACGGGAGGCAGCAGUGGGGAAUAUUGGACAAUGGGCGAAAGCCUGAUCCAGCCAUGCCGCGUGUGUGAAGAAGGUCUUCGGAUUGUAAAGCACUUUAAGUUGGGAGGAAGGGUUGUAGAUUAAUACUCUGCGAUUUUGACGUUACCGACAGAAUAAGCACCGGCUAACUCUGUGCCAGCAGCCGCGGUAAUACAGAGGGUGCAAGCGUUAAUCGGAAUUACUGGGCGUAA
rnacentral:rRNA from 1 species